AGUGAACGCUGGCGGUAGGCCUAACACAUGCAAGUCGAACGGCAGCACAGUAAGAGCUUGCUCUUACGGGUGGCGAGUGGCGGACGGGUGAGGAAUACAUCGGAAUCUACUUUUUCGUGGGGGAUAACGUAGGGAAACUUACGCUACUACCGCAUACUACCUACGGGUGAAAGCAGGGGAUCUUCGCACCUUGCGCGAUUCAAUUAGCCGAUGUCGGAUUAGCUAGUUGGCGGGGUAAAGUCCCACCAAGGCGACGAUCCGUAGCUGGUCUGAGAGGAUGAUCAGCCACACUGGAACUGAGACACGGUCCAGACUCCUACGGGAGGCAGCAGUGGGGAAUAUUGGACAAUGGGCGAAAGCCUGAUCCAGCCAUACCGCGUGGGUGAAGAAGGCCUUCGGGUUGUAAAGCCCUUUUGUUGGGAAAGAAAAGCAGCAGGUUAAUACGCCGCUGUUCUGACGGUACCCAAAGAAUAAGCACCGGCUAACUUCGUG
rnacentral:rRNA from 1 species